rnacentral:piRNA from 1 species
UAUCAUAGCAAUAAGGAGCCAAACUAAGAU